rnacentral:rRNA from 1 species
GACGAACGCUAGCGGGAGGCUUAACACAUGCAAGUCGAGCGGUAGGGCAGCAAUGCCUGAGAGCGGCGCACGGGUGCGUAACGCGUAUGCAACCUGCCUUAUACAGGGGAAUAGCCCAUGGAAACGUGGAUUAAUGUCCCAUAGGAUUACGGAUUCGCAUGGAUUUGUGAUUAAAACUGAGGUGGUAUAAGAUGGGCAUGCGUCUGAUUAGGUAGUUGGUAGGGUAAUGGCCUACCAAGCCGACGAUCAGUAGGGGUUCUGAGAGGAUUACCCCCCACACUGGUACUGAGACACGGACCAGACUCCUACGGGAGGCAGCAGUGAGGAAUAUUGGUCAAUGGCCGGAAGGCUGAACCAGCCAUCCCGCGUGCAGGAUGACGGCCCUAUGGGUUGUAAACUGCUUUUGUACCUGAAGAAACCUGUUUACGAGUAGACAGUUGCCGGUAAGGUAUGAAUAAGCAUCGGCUAACUCCGUGCCAGCCGCCGCUGUAAGAC